GUGACUAUUGUAAGCUACCGCAGGUGUUUUCAGUGGACUUGCUGAGCUCUUUUCUUUGCUCACUUCUUAUUAAAACAAAAUCAAAAUCUGAAAAGCAAGUAACCCCAUUGUCACUAAUAAAGCCACAGGCUGUAAAUUCAAACUAUUUCCUAACUAAAUCUCAUAAAGAUUUGCAUUUUUAAAGUGGUAAUUUUCUCUCUUAAUUUUUUUUUUUUUCUUAGCAAGAAGCAGGUAAAUCUUAGCAGAUGAUUUAAAGGGAGAGGAGGGAAAUUUGUCUGAAAAAAAAAAAAAGACCUAAAUCUUUACAUGGAGUAAAACUGAAGUGAAAAUUUAUAUGUGGGGAAUUGUGGGGAUUGACCCAUGACUGUCGAAUUAAGAGCAAUAGUUAAGGCCUCUGUCCCCUGAGCAUUGUGUAGCCCCAGAAUGCCUGGCUCUGAGGCUGGGGUUCAUCUCAUUAUUGAGCUCCUACAGUAUGCAAAGGCAGAGUCCUCAGCGCCUCUCAGUGCUGGUUGAAGCUCUUGGUUAAUUUUCCUGUUGAUAGUUUCUUUUCAUAGUUUAUCCUAGAAGGAGAGAAAAGCUUGUUUAGGUGGAAUGGAACUGUUUCUAGUAGGAUUAGGAUUAUCCUGUCUGACAAGAUAUGCAGGCCACCAAAACGAAUGAUGCAUUCGUAAUUAGUGUUAGCUUUGUAGUGUAGCGCAUUGUGAUACAUUGUUUUAUAAUCAUAUAAACUGUCACAGAAACCACUCCACUCCUUUGCAAAUGCUGUGGCUGUGAUUUUACAUGAGCUGUGGCAAGAGGCUGAUGUUGGUGCAGCAGUGGAAGAAAUGAGUCCACUGGUGCUUCCUUAAGGAUCUUCUCCAUACCGUGUUCUCAUGGCUGAAGAGAUUGCUGUCAGGUGGAUAACACUGAAAAUUUAUUUUUAAGACUGGAAGUGUGGCCUCUGCUAGGUGUUUACCCUGAAUUAUGUGGAAGGGGUUAAACUAACAACUCUGGGCACUCUAGAAAGUGGAACUUAGCUCAUGGGUGCCUAUUGUCACUGCUGGCUCCACUCCUCAAGCAGCCAGCAUCUGAAAUCUUAACUCUCUUUACCACCUGAAAAGGAAAUCAGCUCAAUCAGAUUGUCUUUAAAAGCAAACAGACCUGUUACUCUCAUCAGCCUUCUUUAUGAUUCAUAUUUAGUUUACCUAAAAUUCAUCCUGACCUAAAAGUCAUAAAAUGGAUAAAACCUCUUACAUAUAACCCUUUUAUCGAAGUAUUAAUUUUUUUCCUUUUACAGUCUAUUAGAACAUAAGUGCUUUUUAACUACAUAUGUGGAUCUAUAAACUUCUCCAGAAAUUUAGGGGGUGGCUUGAAUGUGUUCUGCUAACACAACAGAUAAGCUGUGGAAUCAGAGCUAUAGACUCAGUCUUAGGGGGCAAUGCUUGUCAAGGUUAGGGACCAAGAAGGCAGGACAGCUUUGUCACAGAAUAAUUAUACUUUUGCUUGGUCAGGAAGAUGGUGAAUUUGAAAAAAAAAAUGUCUAUGUUUGUGAAAAAAAAAUGUCUAUGUUUGUGUAUCAUUAAUGUAUACCAGAGCCUAUUUUAAAGUGGUUGUGUCUGGCUUCUUUUUUUUUUUUUUGUCUUUUUUUUUUUGUUGUUGUCGUUGUUGCUAUUUCUUGGGCCGCUCCCGUGGCAUAUGGAGGUUCCCAGGCUAGGGGUCCAAUCGGAGCUGUAGCCACUGGACUACGCCAGAGCCGCAGCAAUGCGGGAUCCGAGCCGCGUCUGCAACCUACACCACAGCUCACGGCAACGCCAGGUCCUUAACCCACUGAGCAAGGGCAGGGACCGAACCCGCAACCUCAUGGUUCCUAGUCGGAUUUGUUAACCACUGCGCCACGACGGGAACUCCUGGCUUCUUUAUUUAAAUGCAUAUGUUAUGUUUUACAAGCAGGCCAUAUGAACAUAUACAUAUGGAGAUGGAGCUUCUCUGGUUCCCAGGUUGCAAAGAUCAGACCUAUAGGAAGAAGGAAUUAAUGGUUUAGGGCAGAGGUUCCCACACUAUGAUGUUUAUUAGAAAAACACUGUGGAAGAACCUAGGCACCUAGAAGAUGGGCCUCAGGCGUCUGUGUUUUAAACAGGUUGGUCCAGGAGCCACACUUUGGGAAGUAUUUGAUAAAAUAUCUUACUUUGUACAUCCGAAGUCUCUUUUCAAUAGACAAGCCAGAAAUGGAACACACACACAUUAUUUUACCUGCUUUGAAAAAUGUUUUUAGAGGAAGGUCUUAGAAGGAGUUUUUUUUCCCCUGGGGGCAAUGUUGGUAUAGGAUUUCAAUCCCCAAAUUUGAAACUGGAAGUCUCACCAUGUGAUAUGGGAGCAGAAGCUUCCAUGUUUUUGCCCUCCAGCCCUAUCUGGACGACCUCUGCCACAGAGUCUGUCUUCUCCAUUCCCACUGUGCUUCCCAUUGCCUAGAGUUAUUCUGGCAAAUUUGAAUGCUCUGGUUCUUUAACUCUGUUCCCAAAUCUUGCAUUAAAGAUGACUGUUAAAGCUAAUAGUAAAAGAGGCAAAUGUUUCCUUUAGCUGCUUCAUCUCCCUAUAGCUUUUUAUUUAUUUAUUUUUAUUGGAGUGUAGUUGAUUUGCAGUGUUGUGUCAAUUUCUGCUGUGCUGCAUAGUGACCCAGUCAUAGAUAGCUUUUGUGGAAGGACCUGAGGACUGUGGUAGAAACAGUCAUAGCCUAGGAGUCAGGAGACCUGGCUCUGCCCUGGGCUUGCUCUGUUGUCAUGGGAAAGUCAUUUGGCGUCUCCAAGACUUACCUUCCUCAUCUUGAAAUUAAAGGGCUGGAGUAGACCAAAGGCUUCCUGAAUGUUGGUCUGGUCUGGUCUGGGGAGCUUUGAGAAAUAUAAGUUCCUGGGCCUCUUCCCCAAAGAAUCUCAUUCAGGGGUCGGGGCGAGUGCCCCAGAUUUUAUAAUUUUCUGAAAACCUCACAGAAGCUUCCUAUGCACAAUGAUAUUUGGGAACCACUAGAUUACCUUUGAAGAUCUUUCCAACUUCGUAAUUCUAUUCUGUUUAAAGUGUGUUAAGGUUUUAAUGAAAAGAAAAUGCUGUUAGGAGUUCCUACUGUGGCUCAGUGGGUUAAGAAUCCAACUAGUAUCCAUGAGGGUGCGGGAUCCCUGGCCUCGCUCAGUGGGUUAAGGAUCCAUUGUUGCCGUGAGCUGUGGUGUAGGUCACAGGUGCAGCUCAGAUCCUACUUUGCUGUGUCUGUGGUGUAGACUGGCAGCUACAGCUCUGAUUCAACCCCUAGCCUGAGAACUUCCAUAUGCCGCAGGCGUGGCCCUGAAAAGCCAAAAAAAAAAAAAAAA
ensembl:lncRNA